CAGCAGCUGCAAAGUCUGGCUGUCCUCUCAGACAACACCCCAGCAGCUGCUGUUCCCAGAACUUCUCCUCCCUUAUCACAAGGCCUGGGCCUCCAGGCGGCCAGGGUGGGUGGGAGCUGUCAGAGCCCCCACCCAGGGCAGGUUCCCAGAUGGAGAGAUAAAGACUCAGAGUUGACUGGAACCCAAAGUCAACCGGGAAAAUGAGGACGCAGAUUCGCCAAUUUGGAUCCCGGACAGACUGAUCCCCCAUUGCAUCGAAGGGCACUCCUCUGCCCCUGCCAUCGCUGCCGCAGGGAACAGCGGCGCACAGGGAACAGCCACGCGCCGGGAGCCGUGGGCGGGGCCAGCCUGGCUGCCAGGGCCCAGUGUGCCAUGCUCGCAGCCAGCCGGUAAGCCCCGCCAGAGUCUGGGCUCACUUGGCCGCUGCUGGUUCAGCGGGGGGCAGAGCGAGGCCCGCCCGCUUCCGCUGGCAGAAGAGGCAAGAUAAACAUCGAGAUCCCAGCAGGACUGACAGCUGCUGCAGUGCCAACUCUGACCAGAAAAUGAUUCUAUUUACUCUAUUUUAGCUUGUCUACCCUCUCUUUAUGGUUUUUUUCUUUGCUAAUGAUUCUGGAAAACUCAAUAUACAAAUGAAUUAUACAGGUGGACUUAAUGAAAAAUGUAUGCUUUCAUCUUGCUUAACUCUUCAGUACAAUGUUUGUUCUUUUGUGGCAUUCACAUCCACCCUCCGAAGGUGACAACGGUUUGUGAGCUUACUAAUUUUAGGGAAUUCAGCUUUAAUAACAACAACUAUUACUGUUACUGUUACUUUGGCAGCAAUAUCAUUGACUCAACAAGUGCAAAUGCCCAAUAUGUUGAAAAAUCAUAUUUUAGGUGUUUGGAAUAGCUCAGAUAUUAGUUUAGACUUAGGGAAACUUCACAAUCAGAUACAGACCUUGGAACACUCAAUUGGAUUUUACUGCCCCUGGAGCUGCUAAUGACUUUUUCCAUACAUUCUCUAACCUUAUUUCUGGAAAAAACAUAAUGUCUAAUAUCUUCAGUUAUGCUGCUGUUGGUGCUCUAAUUUUACUUCUUAUAAUCAUUCUUCCUUGUAUUGUCAGGAUUCUUCAGCAGAGAAUUUCUGGCUGUUUUAAGAAUUAAAAAAGGGGGAGAUGCUGGGAGCCAGUGUGAGGAACUUCACCCAUGGCAAAGGUCAUGAGAAAGGAGGCUUUGGCAUACACAAAGGCGAGAUUGAGCCUCAGGAAACCCCCUGUUCCCAAGCAUCUACCCCCAAAACCAGAGUCUACCUACUUUACUGUUUCAUGCUCUCACCUACACCUCUGACUUUAUGGGGGGCUGUUCCCCACCGGUUCUCUCGUAGAAGAAGUAAACUUGCAGCUCCAGUCAAUAAAAAUUCCUGGGCAUGACAAGGGUCUCUCAGGUCAAACCUCUCUGCUGGCAGACUAGCUUGUGUGACAGGAUUAUCCACACUCCUGCCACUAUGCACAUGAUUGUUUACUACCUCUCAGCCAUAAACAGCACAGAGAGUUUGGAGUAUUUUGAAAAUCUUAAUUGGCAUAGGGCUUUUCUCAUUGUUGAGUCAAUGAUUGCCGCCAG
ensembl:lncRNA